rnacentral:misc_RNA from 1 species
GAUGAAGAACGUAGCGAAAUGCGAUAAGUAAUGUGAAUUGCAGAAUUCAGUGAAUCAUCGAAUCUUUGAACGCACAUUGCGCCCGCCAGUAUUCUGGCGGGCAUGCCUGUCUGAGCGUCAUUUCAACCCUCAUGCCCCUAGGGCGUGGUGUUGGGGAUCGGCCAAAGCCCGCGAGGGACGGCCGGCCCCUAAAUCUAGUGGCGGACCCGUCGUGGCCUCCUCUGCGAAGUAGUGAUAUUCCGCAUCGGAGAGCGAUGAGCCCCUGCCGUUAAACCCCCAACUUUCCAAGGUUGACCUCAGAUCAGGUAGGAAUACCCGCUGAACUUAAGCAUAUCAAUAAGGGAGG